rnacentral:rRNA from 1 species
ACGGGGCUAAACCAUGCACCGAAGCUGCGGCAGCGACACUGUGUGUUGUUGGGUAGGGGAGCGUUCUGUAAGCCUGUGAAGGUGUGUCGUGAGGCAUGCUGGAGGUAUCAGAAGUGCGAAUGCUGACAUAAGUAACGAUAAAGCGGGUGAAAAGCCCGCUCGCCGGAAGACCAAGGGUUCCUGUCCAACGUUAAUCGGGGCAGGGUGAGUCGACCCCUAAGGCGAGGCCGAAAGGCGUAGUCGAUGGGAAACGGGUUAAUAUUCCCGUACUUGGUGUUACUGCGAAGGGGGGACGGAGAAGGCUAUGUUGGCCGGGCGACGGUUGUCCCGGUUUAAGCGUGUAGGUGUGUGUUCCAGGUAAAUCCGGUUCACUUUAACACUGAGGCGUGACGACGAGGCACUACGGUGCUGAAGCAACAAAUGCCCUGCUUCCAGGAAAAGCCUCUAAGCAUCAGGUAACAUCAAAUCGUACCCCAAACCGACACAGGUGGUCAGGUAGAGAAUACCAAGGCGCUUGAGAGAACUCGGGUGAAGGAACUAGGCAAAAUGGUGCCGUAACUUCGGGAGAAGGCACGCUGACACGUAGGUGAAGUGAUUUACUCAUGGAGCUGAAGUCAGUCGAAGAUACCAGCUGGCUGCAACUGUUUAUUAAAAACACAGCACUGUGCAAACACGAAAGUGGACGUAUACGGUGUGACGCCUGCCCGGUGCCGGAAGGUUAAUUGAUGGGGUCAGCGCAAGCGAAGCUCCUGAUCGAAGCCCCGGUAAACGGCGGCCGUAACUAUAACGGUCCUAAGGUAGCGAAAUUCCUUGUCGGGUAAGUUCCGACCUGCACGAAUGGCGUAAUGAUGGCCAGGCUGUCUCCACCCGAGACUCAGUGAAAUUGAACUCGCUGUGAAGAUGCAGUGUACCCGCGGCAAGACGGAAAGACCCCGUGAACCUUUACUAUAGCUUGACACUGAACAUUGAGCCUUGAUGUGUAGGAUAGGUGGGAGGCUUUGAAGUGUGGACGCCAGUCUGCAUGGAGCCGACCUUGAAAUACCACCCUUUAAUGUUUGAUGUUCUAACGUGGACCCGUUACCCGGGUUGCGGACAGUGUCUGGUGGGUAGUUUGACUGGGGCGGUCUCCUCCUAAAGAGUAACGGAGGAGCACGAAGGUUGGCUAAUCCUGGUCGGAC